ACUUAACCCAGAAUUCCGAGCGCAUUUCAUAUCACUGCGCAGGCUCAGUAUGUUCCCACGUGUCAACAGUCUAUAGCAUGCGCAGUCGGGCGAUCCUGAGGAGCAGUGGGUGUUUUCUUCGGCUCCACAAAAGCAUGUUAGAAGAGGAUUUGCAGAUCGGAAACUCAAACCAAAUGAUACACCAACAUCUAAAGCAUUCAACAAUCUGAUAAUUGGAUAGAAAUUGAGAGAUCGAGCAGCCCGUCCAAAAGCUUCCAAAAUCACUGCUCUUCCUUGACCUUCUUGAACUGCUGCAGUCCAUGUGGUAAAGCUGUUCGCAGAUUGCUGUUCGGAAACUGGACACAGUACUUCAGAAGAAACCUCACUGAUGUCCUGUAUAAC